rnacentral:tRNA from 1 species
GCCUGGGUGGCUCAGUCGGUUAAGUGUCUGACUUCAGUUCAGGUCGUGAUCUCACGGUUUGUGAGUUCGAGCCUCGCGUCAGGCU